GUGCUCGCUUUGGCAACAUGUAUACUAAAAUUGGAAUGAUACAGAGAAGAUUAGCAUGGCCCCUGCUCAAAGAUGACACCCAAAUUCGUGAAGCUUUUAUAUAUUUC
ensembl:snRNA U6 U6 spliceosomal RNA